rnacentral:rRNA from 1 species
UACGGGGGGGGCAAGCGUUGUUCGGAAUUACUGGGCGUAAAGGGCUCGUAGGCGGCCAACUAAGUCAGACGUGAAAUCCCUCGGCUUAACCGGGGAACUGCGUCUGAUACUGGAUGGCUUGAGGUUGGGAGAGGGAUGCGGAAUUCCAGGUGUAGCGGUGAAAUGCGUAGAUAUCUGGAGGAACACCGAUGGCGAAGGCAGCCCCCUGGGCUGAGAUUGACGCUCAGGCACGAAAGCGUGGGGAGCAAACAGG